rnacentral:rRNA from 1 species
GACGAACGCUGGCGGCGUGCCUAAUACAUGCAAGUUGAGCGCUGAAGGUUGGUUCUUGUACCAACUGGAUGAGCAGCGAACGGGUGAGUAACGCGUGGGGAAUCUGCCUUUUAGCGGGGGACAACAUUUGGAAACGAAUGCUAAUACCGCAUAAAAACUUUAAACACAAGUUUUAAGUUUGAAAGAUGCAAUUGCAUCACUCAAAGAUGAUCCCGCGUUGUAUUAGCUAGUUGGUGAGGUAAAGGCUCACCAAGGCGAUGAUACAUAGCCGACCUGAGAGGGGGAUCGGCCAAAAUGGGAAUGGGAAAAGGCCCAAAAGACUAAGGGAGGGAGCAGUAGGGAAACUUCGGGAAAGGAAGAAAGACUGAACGAGGAAAGCCGCGGGAGAGAAGAAGGGUGUCGGAUCGUAAAAAUCGGUUGGUAGAGAAGAACGUUGGUGAGAGUGGAAAGCUCAGCAAGUGACGGUAACUACACAGAAAGGGACGGCUAACUACGUG